ensembl:lincRNA Gm30097 predicted gene, 30097
GGAAAGCGCCUCCAAACGCCGGCCAAAGCUGAGCCUGUGACUGUCGCGGGUCACGCCCCUGGCUGGUGUGGCUAUGGCCAGCUCAGGCCCCAGGGCUGCAGCGCCUCCAGGUCCUGGGAAUACUCCUUGACUGUAUCGGGACAAGCAAUCUGUGGGCACGAGUGUUUGCCCUCUCACAUGGUCACCUGUAGCUGCAAGGGAGUCAGGCCAGAGAAAGCGUUGCCAUGCUCAUGAUGUGGAAAUGAAGCGAAGUGCUGCAAAUGGCAGACUCCCCUCCGGCGUACCUAAUGCUAUGGUUCCUUGUCCAUCUGGUCUCCCCAGACUCUUCA